CUCUCUCCUCUCCCCCACCUCCUCCAUCCACCCUUUCGCUGCACUCUACAUUACCACUCAUCCUUCUUCCAACACCCCUCCAUUUCUCUCUCUCCCUCUCUCUCUCCGCUUUACAUUUCUUCUCUAAUAAGAACCAUCUCUCUCUCUCUCUCUCUCAUACACCAGCUGAAUCCUCAUCCUCUCUGUAGCUGUUUUCAGAAAUCUACUCUUGCUGCUGCUUUAAUGUGAUGGAUGCAGCGCCACCCACCACCACCACCACCACCACCAUGGAGGAUUGUUGUGUCAAAGUAGCCGUACACAUACGUCCGCUUAUUGGAGAUGAAAAGCUUCAAGCUUGUAAAGAUUGUGUCGCCAUCAUUCCUGGGAAACCACAGGUGCAACUGGGUACACAUUCUUUUACCUUUGAUCAUGUCUAUGGAAGCACUGGAACCCCACCAUCUGCCAUGUUUGAAGAGUGUGUUUCUCCUCUUGUUGAUGGUUUGUUUCAAGGGUAUAAUGCUACCGUUCUAGCUUAUGGCCAGACGGGUUCUGGCAAGACAUACACCAUGGGUUCUGGCUUCAAGGAUGGCUGCCAAACGGGUCUUAUUCCUCAAGCCAUGAGUGCUUUAUUCAACAAGAUUGAAAGUUUAAAGCAUCAAAUAGAAUUCCAGCUGCAUGUUUCUUUCAUUGAGAUUCUAAAAGAAGAAGUACGGGACUUGCUGGAUCCCAACUCCAGUAACAAAUCAGACACAACAAAUGGGCAGACAGGAAAAGUAAAUAUUCCAGGGAAGCCGCCAAUACAAAUUCGUGAAACUUCAAAUGGUGUCAUAACGCUUGCAGGAUCUACUGAAUGUAGCGUUCAGUCACUAAAAGAAAUGGCUGAUUGCCUGGAGCAUGGAUCAAUGAGCAGGGCAACAGGGAGUACAAACAUGAAUAACCAGUCAAGUCGUUCACAUGCCAUCUUCACCAUCACUGUUGAACAAAUACGCAAAGCAAAUCCUGGUGAUACCAAUUCAAAUGAUGCUAUAGGUGAUGAAUAUCUCUGUGCCAAGUUGCAUUUAGUUGACCUUGCUGGAUCAGAACGAGCUAAAAGAACAGGUUCUGAUGGCAUGCGGUUCAAAGAAGGAGUUCAUAUUAAUAAGGGGCUUCUUGCACUUGGAAACGUCAUCAGUGCCCUUGGCGAUGAGAAGAAACGGAAAGAAGGUGCUCAUGUUCCGUAUCGAGAUAGUAAACUUACUCGCCUCUUACAGGAUUCACUUGGUGGAAACAGCAGAACUGUUAUGAUUGCUUGCGUGAGUCCUGCUGAUAUAAAUGCCGAGGAAACUCUCAACACAUUAAAGUAUGCUAAUCGUGCUCGGAAUAUCCAGAAUAAGCCUGUGGUGAAUAGGGAUCCAAUGUCCAGUGAAAUGUUAAAAAUGCGUCAACAAUUAGAGUGCUUGCAGGCAGAACUUUGUGCUCGUGGUGGAGGUUCUUCGGUUGAAUUACAGGUAUUACGGGAAAGGAUUGCUUGGCUUGAAGCUACUAACCAGGAUCUUUGUAGGGAACUUCAUAUUUACCGCAGCCGAGGCAUUGCCAUUGAUCAUUCUGAGAUGAAUACUAAGGUUGAUCAUGAUUCCUUUUGUGUGGAAAAUGAAGGGCUUAAAAGAGGGUUGCAGGGUGUCGAUUCAUCUGAUUAUCAGAUGAGUGAAAGUGGUGAUUCUGCCGUUAUAGACGAGGAAGCUGCAAAAGAGUGGGAGCAUACCCUUCUACAAGACUCCAUGGACAAAGAACUACAUGAGUUGAAUAAACGUUUAGAGCAGAAGGAGUCGGAGAUGAAACUUUUUGGUGGUUUUGAUACGAUGACUCUUAAGCAACAUUUUGGGAAGAAAAUAAUGGAACUAGAGGAUGAAAAACGGGCAGUACAGAAAGAGAGAGACCGAUUGCAGACUGAAAUCGAAAAUCUUUCAGCUACUUCAGAUGGGCAAACACAAAAAUUGCAAGAUUUGCACUCACACAAGUUAAAAUCGCUCGAGUCACAGAUUCAGGAUCUCAAGAAGAAAAAAGACAGUCAAGUUCAGAUUCUGAAGCAAAAACAAAAGAGCGAUGAGGCAGCAAAAAAGUUGCAAGAUGAGAUUCAAUUCAUCAAGGCACAAAAGGUUCAACUACAACAUAAGAUAAAGCAAGAAGCUGAACAAUUCCGACAGUGGAAAGCAUCUCGUGAAAAAGAAUUGCUGCAGCUAAAGAAGGAAGGGCGGAGGAAUGAAUAUGAGAGGCACAAACUGCAAGCACUAAAUCAACGCCAGAAAAUGGUUCUUCAAAGGAAAACAGAAGAGGCUGCAAUGGCGACCAAGAGGCUCAAAGAAUUGCUAGAGGCCCGCAAGUCAACCCGUGAUAACUCAGUAACUAGCAACGGAAAUGGAGCAAAUGUGCAGAGCAAUGAGAAGUCAUUGCAGCGUUGGCUUGAUCAUGAGCUGGAAGUGAUGGUGAACGUUCAUGAAGUUAGACAUGAAUAUGAGAAACAAAGUCAAGUGCGUGCUGCAUUGGCCGAAGAGCUAGCUGUUCUUAGACAAGUUGAUGAAUUUGCUUCAAAAGGAGUUAGCCCUCCAAGAGGAAAGAAUGGUUUCUCUAGGGCCUCAUCUUUAUCACCUGAUGCUAGAAUGUCAAGAAUAUCUUCACUGGAAAGCAUGUUAAGCAUUUCAUCCAACUCACUUGUGUUCAUGGCUUCACAACUCUCUGAGGCAGAAGAAAGGGAACGUGCCUUUGCUAGUCGUGGACGUUGGAAUCAGCUGCGCUCAAUGGCUGAUGCCAAGAACCUGCUUCAGUAUAUGUUUAAUUCUCUUGCAGAUGCUAGGUGCCAAUCAUGGGAAAAGGAUCUUGAAAUGAAAGAAAUGGAAGAACAGUUGCAAGAGCUUGUGGGUUUACUACGACAGAGUGAACUAAGAAGAAAAGAAACCGAGAAGGAGCUAAAAGUAAGGGAGCAAACCGUGGCAAUUGCGUUGGCUUCAUCUGCUUCAGGUAACUCCCACAAUUCACUGAAGCACUUGGCUGAGGACAUGAGUGGUCCUUUAUCUCCAAAUUCUGUGCCCGUACCCAAACAGCUGAAAUACACGGCAGGCAUAGCGAAUGGUUCGGUUAGGGAAUCAGCAGCAUUCAUAGACCAGAAACGAAAGAUGGUUCCCAUAAGUCAGUUGUCUCUGAAGAAGCUGGCGAUGGUUGGGCAUUCUUCUGGGAAACUUUGGAGGUGGAAAAGGAGUCAUCAUCAAUGGUUAUUGCAAUUCAAAUGGAAGUGGCAAAAACCAUGGAGACUGUCAGAGCUAAUCAAACACAGUGAUGAAACGAUCAUGAGAGGAAAACCUCGUGUAUCAGACGUCAUGUAUCAUAGACAUUAAGCUUGCUUAUAUAUAUAUAAUCUAUAUAUAUAUAUAUAUAUAUAUAUUGUUGGUUGCUGUCUGUAUAUUCCCCACCUUCAUCUCCAUCAUACAGUAUUAUAGCGAAGAACAUUGAAAUAAAUGCAGUGUGAUAUAUUAUAAGGUGUGUGUUGGAGAGGAGAUGAGAUCCCUGGUUGUAGAUGGUGCUGAUCUUGAAUAGGUAAGUUUGUAGCUGCAAUGGUGGCAUCUUUCCAGUGAAGAUUUGAUGGUUUGCAGAAGAAAGUAGAGUGUGUGGAUGUGUUUUGUAGGUUGAAUAUUUUUUGAAACAUAUAUAUAAGUGUUGUAGUUGUAUUGCUGCUAAUUUGUAUGAGUGAGUGCCAAUAGUGAUUUUGUUGGAAAUUAACCUGUCAACAUUUUAUGAACAAAUUGAUACAGAUUUGUAAUGUUUGUCAACGUUUAUUUUAUAUU